GACAGAGGGGGCAAGCGUUGCUCGGAAUUACUGGGCGUAAAGGGCUCGUAGGCGGCCAACUAAGUCAGACGUGAAAUCCCUCGGCUUAACCGGGGAACUGCGUCUGAUACUGGAUGGCUUGAGUUCGGGAGAGGGAUGUGGAAUUCCAGGUGUAGCGGUGAAAUGCGUAGAUAUCUGGAGGAACACCGGUGGCGAAGGCGGCAUCCUGGACCGACACUGACGCUGAUGAGCGAAAGCCAGGGGAGCAAACGGG
rnacentral:rRNA from 1 species